AACAUUCUAGUAGCUUAACCCGUUAAAGC
rnacentral:tRNA from 2 species